UGGAUGAAGACAGAGUAGUGGAGUUCGACACUAGCAUGUAUCAUUUUGAUGAACAUGUACCUCCAGCGAGGGAGAGCAAAUGCUUCAGUGAGGCUCAUAGGAACAAUAGUAAGCUGUAGAGGUGGUGCAAGAAGCAGGACAAGCUGCUCGCCAAGUGUUUCAAGACUAUCAAGUUUCUGACAGAUAAGUUGAGCUGUUCCUCUUCUACUACAACUAUUUUG
rnacentral:pre_miRNA from 1 species